UCCCACUAGCUGACCUAAAUUUCCCCUCUUUUAGUCUAAAGCCAUUCCCCCUUGUGCUAUCAGUACUAGACCGUGUAAAAGGUUGGUCUCCCUCCUGCUUGUAAGCUACCUUUGAGUACUGGCAGGCUGCAGUGAGGUCUUCCUUGUAGGUAACAGUAAGCUAUGCUGCUUGCUUGUUCAUGUAAUUCUAAAACUCUAAGUGUACCCACAGCCCUGUGGUCUGAUUUCCUUCUGCUAGGGAUUCUAAAGUACCUGCCUGUCCCCAUAGCAUCAGUUGACAGAACUUGCCAUAGUUGGUAGGAUCCUAGGGUUAGAAUAGUGUCUGGUUCCUCUCAUCAAUGGGAUGCACUGCAAAAGAGUUUCAUGGAAUAUGGAUGGCAAGAUCCAAGUGGGAUAAGGAAUGGCUAAUGGCAGUAAGCUGCAAUCCAAGAGUCACAUGGGGCAAACUUAACAAAUGAAAACAUACGUGGGAAGAAAAGAAAGACAAGAGGUGAGAAGAUUGUUGUGUACACAGUAAGCCCACUACUGUACAAAAACUGCACGUGACAUGGACUGGAACAGCUGUUCUGAACUGUGAUCAACAGCAUAAAUCCCCUGUCGUUUUGGCUUUGAAUAGCCAACCUAUUUUAAACCUAGUUUGUCCCACAAGCCACGAAGCUCUCUGGGUCUCCUCUCCUGACAGCGAGUCCGAACUCUACCCCAGGAGGCGCUGCUUCUCGCGGGUGCGGUGUCCCCAUCAUCAGAUCCCUCCCUCAGAGCUCUCACUGUGAGGAAAAAAGCAUCCAUCUCAUUGGUUACAGGCAGCUAAUAAAUCAGCCCGUGAAAACAGUCUGCAGGCACUAAGGAGUUACAGUGUCCUACCAGGAAAUGUCUGCUGGCAGCCAAUGGAAGGAGUGACAAACAAUGCAGAUGACUCAUGGGUUCCAGCAGCAGAUCAAAGCAGAGCUGGCUGGGCAUCUGCAGCAGCUUCGCUGUGUCACUUGUCCGUUUAAGCCUGCGUUUUCAAAUGGACUGGAAGUUGCUGCUUCAGGAAAUAGCAGAUGUCAGAUGCUGUAAGCCUGAAUGCUUCCUUCCUGCCUUCUCUUGGGAUUUUCCAGCAUCAUGGACUCAUGGGGAUAGCAACUGAUGAGCUACACGUUCCUCUGCUCACUCAUCCAUGAGGCAAAUUAUGGUCUAACCAACUAGAGGCAACAGCAGCUGAGGUCAGACCUGUAGAACUGCAAUGCAGAAGUGCCAGGAUGCAGUGUACCUCCCUCCUGAAAGACAUGUUCAUGUAAGGAGACAGACUUUGUUUCAGGAAGAAAUGUCCAUGAUCAGAUGAGAAUGAGACUUCAUCUCAACAGUAUUCUUCUCAGGAGUUUUGGAGUACUAUCUUGGGAGAACCUAAGCAGACAGAAACUUUGUAAAGGAUGUGUAGACCUUCUAAAUGGAACUUUUACUAGUAUAAAUAAGGAAGCAAACUCUACCGCAAACUGCAAUCUGAUGUGCACAAAGGUUUGUGCAAUCUUAAGUUUGCUCCCAUACAAGGACAUCACUUGAUUUUUUGAUCUUUGUGGUACGAAAGCAGGAAAGCUUUUGUCUUUAUUGCGUUUCUGGAUAUGCUAAAGAGCUGGAGAGUACCCUUUGGCACUUCAAGUUCAUUUAAGAAUUGAAGAAAAUAGACACUGUGAAGUUUUCUGGCUGGUCUUCUCUAGAAACCAUCUCAACUGCUACCCAAGGUUAUAGAAAUCAGCGUCUUUCCAGUCGCCAGCUGCAAUCAGACUGGGAAAUACAAGUCAUCUGUUCACAAAAAACUCAACCAUGUAAUGACAGAGAAAAUCCCUCUUGUAGUACCAACCUUGUCAACUACUCUACUUGAUAGCAGUAUGAAUAAUGCAGGAAGAGAAAAUAUUCUUGAGAUGGAUCUGGCAAAUUCUAUCCCAUGGAACACAAGAAAGAAAGAUCACCCAGGCUCUGGCAGUAGAAGACCAUUUUGUACUCUUCCUUUAUCUGGUCCAUCUUCAGGCAAAGAAAACAGUUAGCAUUAGGACUCACCC